AUUAAUUGCGUAUUUUUUAAGCCAUAGUACACUUGUAUCCAAUAGAAUUUGGACACGUCAGAUGAAUUUGUCAUAUGUGGGGUCCAUUUGUUGCUUCAAAAAUAGAAUUCAAUUUUUUUUUAUAUUUUCUUUUUUUUUCUUUUUUAAUGCACGGAUGUCCCAGUGACAGGAGGGGUAAGAAGUUGGAGUUAUUGGCUAAUAUCAUCGCUAGGUGUAAUAGUCCAUGGUUAGUAAUGGGUGAGUUUAAUGGUCUAUUAACUAUGGAUGAUAGAAUUGGAUGCAAAGGUUGUAGAAGUGUGUGUGGCUGGUUAGAACUUCCCCAUGCAGAUACACUUGGAAAAUAGAUUGGGUGUUUGUUAAUGCAGAAUGGUUAGAGGCAUACAAUGCAACUUUUCUGCCACAGCGACCACUGUCCAGCAAAGAUUAGCCUAAUACAUCGAUGACAAAAUCUUUCAAGUAUUAAAUGGAACACUUUCCAGGUUGUACAAGGUGAAAAAAUUGAAUGGUCACCAUUCUAACAGAGGCUAAUGAAGAUAGAUUGAAGCAAGUUCAACAAACAGCACUACAAAAGGGAAACGUCUCCAAGAGUUAUAUCGCUUUACUUGGGAACUCAAUUAUGCUGCCAAAGCAUAGAAUGAUUGCUUCCCAAAAUACAAUACUUACCAAGGAAAGAAUGAGCAGAUUGAACAUUCCAGUUGAUGACCUUACAUGCUGCUCCUGUGAGGAAAAUGAAAUAGAGACUCAGAAUCAUUUGUUUGCUAGAUGUGGCUGGAUAUCGGAAAUAAGGGUCGCUCUCUUUACAUGAUCAGGCUUGUACUUGCAACAGAGGAGAGUAAUACAAAAUCUAGAAUGGUUUCAAAGAAGAAAAUGGAAGAGGUUCCAAAAAGAAGUAUCUGCUGCAAUUUAUGGUGCUAUGAUUCAUCACACUUGACGAGCAAGGAAUAUAAAGAUGUUCAGGAACAUACAUGUAAUUACGAGUUCUGUUAUAGCACAGAUCCAAAGGGAGAUUAGGGAGAGGAUAGAUAUGUUACACUGUUUAAAAAGAACUCAUAGAUGCACUAACUUAAUGUCUAGAAUUUAUAAAUAGGUUGUUGGUA